rnacentral:rRNA from 1 species
GUCUACGGCCACACCACCCUGAACGCACCUGAUCUCAUCUGAUCUCGGAAGCUAAGCAGGGUCGGGCCUGGUUAGUACUAGAACUCUAGAAAAUUGUGACAGAAAGCAGGUCAGUGGCUGCCU